rnacentral:misc_RNA from 1 species
UUUCCGUAGGUGAACCUGCGGAAGGAUCACUAGUGAAUUGAAUAUGUUAGCGGACCUCUUCGGAGUCCCUAGCAUCAAAUCAUAUCCAUAACACCUGUGAACUGUAAGGCUGUCUUGAAAACGAAAGUGAUUAGAGCGCCUGCCCAUCUUAUACAAACAUUAAAGUAACAAACGUAGUCUUAUUAUAAUCUAAUAAAACUUUCAACAACGGAUCUCUUGGCUCU